rnacentral:rRNA from 1 species
GGAGUUUGGACCGUGUCUCAGUUCCAAUGUGGGGGACCUUCCUCUCAGAACCCCUACUGAUCGCGGGCUUGGUGGGCCGUUACCCCGCCAACAACCUAAUCAGACGCAUCCCCAUCGCAAAGCGGUGAACCUUUACUGCAAUUCUGAUGUCAUCAUCACAGCACAUAGGGCAUUAAUCUUACUUUCGCAAGGCUGUGCCCUACUUUGCGGCAGGUUGGAUACGCGUUACUCACCCAUUCGCCGGUCGUCGCCCAGCAAAAGCAAGCUUUCGCUGUCGUUACCCCUCGACUUGCAUGUGUUAAGCCUGUAGCUAGCGUUCAUC